GAUAAUUGAAGCCAUCAAACGGGAAUGUGGAUUACCAUCUGCUGAAGCACAAUAAGCAUUCGUAUCUGUUUGCUGAUUGGUUUCAGAUAUGCUGAAAUUAUCAGGUCAUAACUCAUUUUGCUGAACAACAACAACGUCAAAUCUUUAUCCCACUAUAUGGUUAGCCUUAUGAAUCCUUUUUCUUCCUUGUGUCCUAUUAAGAGUCAAAUUCUCAUCUAAAUCUAAUAAAAAAAAAUCAUCUCUAAUACUUUUCAUAACUCAUUUUGACCAAAAAGUCUAUUCUGUUGUUUUCGAUGAUAUGUGCUGUUUCCAUUUUAAGCA